rnacentral:siRNA from 1 species
CUAACAGGUUCACCGUUUCUU